rnacentral:rRNA from 1 species
UGGUCAAUCACCCGCCGCAUUACAAGACGGGCGGCGUGGAAACAAUAGACAAAGUAUCGUGACUGGGAAACAGAUGAAGCAAUACAAAUGAUGUUCAGUGGCGCAAGGGUGAGUAACACGUGGGCAACCUGCCCGAAAGAACGGGAUAGCCCGCCGAAAGGCGGAUUAAUACCGUAUGUGACGAGAAGAGGGGACUCUUUGAUGUUAAAGUCGGAGCAAUCUGACGCUUUUGGAUGGGCCCGCGGCCUAUCAGCUAGUUGGUGAGGUAACGGCUCACCAAGGCGAUGACGGGUAGCUGGUCUGAGAGGACGACCAGCCACACUGGAACUGAGACACGGUCCAGACACCUACGGGUGGCAGCAGUCGAGAAUUUUUCUCAAUGGGGGAAACCCUGAAGGAGCGACGCCGCGUGGAGGAUGAAGGUCUUCGGAUUGUAAACUCCUGUCAUGAGGGAGUAAGACACAGCGUUAACUGCGUAUGUGUUUGAUAGUACCUCAAGAGGAAGAGACGGCUAACUCUGUGCCAGCAGCCGCGGUAAUACAGAGGUCUCAAGCGUUGUUCGGAUUCAUUGGGCGUAAAGGGUGCGUAGGUGGCAAGGUAAGUCAGAUGUGAAAUCCCCGGGCUCAACCUGGGAACUGCAUUUGAUACUGCCGUGCUCGAGUGCUGGAGGGGAGACUGGAAUUCACGGUGUAGCAGUGAAAUGCGUAGAUAUCGUGAGGAAGACCGGUGGCGAAGGCGAGUCUCUGGACAGCAACUGACACUGAGGCACGAAGGCUAGGGGAGCAAACGGGAUUAGAUACCCCGGUAGUCCUAGCAGUAAACGGUGCGCGUUUGGUAUGGGGGGAUCGACCCCUUCCGUGCCGGAGCUAACGCGUUAAACGCGCCGCCUGGGGAGUACGGUCGCAAGAUUAAAACUCAAAGAAAUUGACGGGGACCCGCACAAGCGGUGGAUGAUGUGGUUUAAUUCGAUGCAACGCGAAAAACCUUACCCACCUUUGACAUGUAUGGAAUCCUGAAGAGAUUUGGGAGUGCUCGAAAGAGAGCCAU